rnacentral:tRNA from 1 species
GGCUCCGUGGCUUAAUGGUUACGGCUUCUGACUCCCAAGCAGAAGGUUCAGGGAUCAAAUCCCGGUCGGUACCU